CCUACGGGGGGCUGCAGUGAGGAAUCUUGCGCAAUGGGGGAAACCCUGACGCAGCAACGCCGCGUGAGUGAGGAAGGUUUUCGAAUCGUAAAGCUCUGUCAGGUGGAAAGAAAUGUCUGGAUGUUAAUAGCCUCCAGACUUGACGGUACCACCAGAGGAAGCACCGGCUAACUCCGUGCCAGCAGCCGCGGUAAUACGGGGGGUGCAAGCGUGCGUAAGAAUCAUGGGGCGGGAUUGAUAAGUCAGAGGCGAAAGCCCUGGGCUUAACCCAGGAAGUGCAUUUGAAACUGUCUGGCUAGAGUAAGGAAGAGGAAAGCGGAAUUCCUGGUGUAGAGGUGAAAUUCGUAGAUAUCAGGAGGAACACCGGUGGCGAAGGCGGCUUUCUGGUCCUAUACUGACGCUGAGACGCGAGAGCGUGGGUAGCAAACAGGAUUAGAUACCCCUGUAGUC
rnacentral:rRNA from 1 species